rnacentral:rRNA from 1 species
AUUGAAUGGCUCAGUGAGGCUUCCGGACUGGCCCAGGGGAGUCGGCAACGACACCCCAGGGCCGGAAAGCUAUCCAAACUCGGUCAUUUAGAGGAAGUAAAAGUCGUAACAAGGUCUCCGUUGGUGAACCAGCGGAGGGAUCAU